ACAACCAUGCCACAUUGAAACCCAUUUCCCAUAUGAUCACCGAAGUUAAGCAAUGUCUUGCCUGGUCAGUACCUAGAUAGGUGACCACUUGGGAAUACCAGGUGCU